CUGAAGUUUGCUGAUAAGUGGCAAUGGUCAUAAAGGAACUGUUCUCUAUAGCUGAUUAAUACAUACUAUACCACCUGGCAAGUCCAGAUGGUUUUAUGCAAUCAUCUGUAUACUCUAUGAAAUUUAUGGUCUUGAAGGAAUUCAGAGCAGCACCCUGAUAAGAGGAAAGGGAAUGAACCAGGUACAUUAGAUACCAGACACAGACCACUGCUUAGAUCUGGUAAAACCUGGGGUAUUUUUGGAACAGAUUGCAGAUUUCAUUGGUAAGACCAAAAUGCAGAAGAGAUCCUGGCAGAACUUACAUCUGCAAGAGGAAUUAUGCUGCAACUUGCUGGGUCCAGUCAUUUUCCUCAGCAACUGCCAGGCACCUAUCAGCAAGUGCAAGACCCUCCAGAACUGAAAUUCAGAUUAAAAACAUACAGCUGCCAAAACAGGGAGCUACAUACAGAAGAGUUGUUUGUGAGCAGAACUUUCUUCAUUCAACUGUCUGAAGAACACCUCAUCAAUGAGUGGACUGUACUGCCUAGGAUUCUUCCAAGUAUAUCUGUAGCAUGCAAAAUGAGAUGA
rnacentral:lncRNA from 1 species